GAUAACUGGCUUGUGGCCGCCAAGCGUUCAUAGCGACGUGGCUUUUUGAUCCUUCGAUGUCGGCUCUUCCUAUCAUUGUGAAGCAAAAUUCACAAAGCGUAGGAUUGUUCACCCUUUUUUUUCCAGCUUUGUAGCUUUUGUCCUAUACCUGUCGGAAUGUU
rnacentral:rRNA from 1 species